UUUGGCUGUGUGCGUUUAGUCCUAUUGAUGUUGUAUACGCAACCUAAGUAAUUUGGGUCACUUCCUUCUAGUGGUGGCGUAUCCAUACCCCACGGGAAACCGGUUGGUAGAGAGACUUCCCUGAGCAUUGGCAUCGCGGAGAGAAAGCGUGCUUUGAGCGAGGGUCGGCAUUGCAGAGAGAAAAUUGACUACGUGUGAAGUUGCGACUACAACCACAUCCUACAAAAAACGGGUGCUUGCUUCAAGACGUCAUAUGAACCGGUGUUUAAUUGUGGAGUGCGGAAACUUCGCGACCAGCCGAAGGUGGAGGUGCCAGUGGGACAAGCUUCUUGGCUGCAGCUCCAGCGUGCGCUGUGGUCACUGUUUCUCUCCCUGGAGAUUUGACUUGGACUGUGCGCGCCCAAUGCGCUUGAGCGUGCGGGUGCGCGUGUGACUGUGUGAGCGUCUGUGCACUGUGUGGUGCCUACACUCGGCGCAGGCCGCAACUCUGACAGCGUGUGAUUGUGUGUGUGUGGGUGCGUGUGUGUGUGUGGGGUAUUAGUGGGGUGGUCUAGGGAAAAGUGCAAUUUUACAUUCUUUGACUAAGUGGAUCGUUUUGUUCUUUUUUUCUUUCUUUUUCUUAUCUGGGGUUAGCUGUGAAGACAUCUGGGGACAGGUUGGCUUUGGGGGGGUCAGUCCGAUUGGGAAUAGGCAGACCGCUGGAUUGCUGUGCUUUGCUGUGAAAUCUAGUUAUAGUGGGGUGCGGUUAUUUGUUUUCUUUUGGGGUAUUUUGUUGAUUUGCAUGUUUGUUUAUUUUCUAUGCAUGGUGUGCUCUCAUCCUUGUGCCUAACCCAUUCUGACUGUACUAGCUGACCUGUCACUCAUCCCUCCUAUUUGUGACCUGAGAGGGGGUAGCACAGCAUAGUCCCAUACCUCUUUUGUUUUGUUUGUACCAGUCCUUAGGACCACAGUCGACUGGGCCCAGUGCUGUACCAUCUGAAUAGGCACAGCAUCAGAUUGCUGUGAGUUUGCAGUGCAAUAUUUAUUCUU